rnacentral:rRNA from 1 species
UGGGGAAUAUUGCACAAUGGGCGCAAGCCUGAUGCAGCCAUGCCGCGUGUGUGAAGAAGGCCUUCGGGUUGUAAAGCACUUUCAGCGGGGAGGAAGGCGUUAAGGUUAAUAACCUUGGCGAUUGACGUUACCCGCAGACGAAGCACCGGCUAACUCCGUGCCAGCAGCCGCGGUAAUACGGAGGGUGCAAGCGUUAAUCGGAAUUACUGGGCGUAAAGCGCACGCAGGCGGUCUGUCAAGUCGGAUGUGAAAUCCCCGGGCUCAACCUGGGAACUGCAUUCGAAACUGGCAGGCUAGAGUCUUGUAGAGGGGGGUAGAAUUCCAGGUGUAGCGGUGAAAUGCGUAGAGAUCUGGAGGAAUACCGGUGGCGAAGGCGGCCCCCUGGACAAAGACUGACGCUCAGGUGCGAAAGCGUGGGGAGCAAACAGG